AUUGAACGCUGGCGGCAUGCCUUACACAUGCAAGUCGAACGGCAGCACGGGUGCUUGCACCUGGUGGCGAGUGGCGAACGGGUGAGUAAUACAUCGGAACGUACCUUAUCGUGGGGGAUAACGCAGCGAAAGUUGCGCUAAUACCGCAUACGCCCUGAGGGGGAAAGCGGGGGACCGUAAGGCCUCGCGCGAUUAGAGCGGCCGAUGUCUGAUUAGCUUGUUGGUGAGGUAAAAGCUGACCAAGGCGAUGAUCAGUAGCUGGUCUGAGGGGACGAUCAGCCACACUGGGACUGAGACACGGCCCAGACUCCUACGGGAGGCAGCAGUGGGGAAUUUUGGACAAUGGGGGCAACCCUGAUCCAGCAAUGCCGCGUGAGUGAAGAAGGCCUUCGGGUUGUAAAGCUCUUUUGUCAGGGAAGAAACAGCAGCUCUAACACAGUCUGCGAAUGACGGUACCUGAAGAAUAAGCACCGGCUAACUACGUGCCAGCAGCCGCAGUAA
rnacentral:rRNA from 1 species